rnacentral:SRP_RNA from 1 species
CAUCGUGGCAUGGCUAACCUGGUCAGGUCGGGAACGAAGCAGCCACGGCUAUUAACCAUGAGUGCCGCAGAUCAGGCUCGCCUCC